rnacentral:rRNA from 1 species
GAAGCACACGCGCCAGCGUGUGUGGAGUCAUCGUUGAAAUACCACUCUGGUCGCUCUGGAUAUCUAACUUCGGUCCGUGAUCCGGAUCAGGGACAGUGCCUGGUGGGUAGUUUAACUGGGGCGGUUGCCUCCCAAAGGGUAACGGAGGCGCUCAAAGGUUCCCUCAGCCUGGUUGGUAAUCAGGUGUUGAGUGCAAGUGCACAAGGGAGCUUGACUGUGAGACGGACAUGUCGAGCAGGGACGAAAGUCGGAACUAGUGACC